AUUGAACGCUGGCGGCAGGCCUAACACAUGCAAGUCGAGCGAGCGGCGGACGGGUGAGUAAUGUCUGGGGAACUGCCUGAUAGAGGGGGAUAACUACUGGAAACGGUGGCUAAUACCGCAUACUAUCAGAUGAACCCAGAUGGGAUUAGCUGGUUGGUGGGGUAAAGGCUCACCUAGGCGACGAUCUCUAGCUGGUCUGAGAGGAUGACCAGCCACACUGGAACUGAGACACGGUCCAGACUACUACGGGAUGCAGCAGUGGGGAAUAUUGCACAAUGGGCGCAAGCCUGAUGCAGCCAUGCCGCGUGUAUGAAGAAGGCCUUAGGGUUGUAAAGUACUUUCAGCGGGGAGGCGUUACCCGCAGAAGAAGCACCGGCUAACUCCGUGCCAGCAGCCGCGGUAAUUC
rnacentral:rRNA from 1 species